rnacentral:lncRNA from 1 species
UUACAUAAAAUGUAAAUUUUAUAGAAAUGUAAAAAAGGCCGCCAUUAAACAUUUCUACAUAUUAGCAUUAAAUAAGUUCAUUUUUCUGAGUGGAGGCAUUCUAACCUCGAUCUCGAAAAAGUUCGGGUUCUACAAGUCAUUGGUGCAAAGAGUUCAUUUGAUGAUUUUGCAAAAGAGAAUAAGAAGAAAUUACAGCAUGAUAUAUCCGAUUAUGUAUUGACUAAUUUUGAGACCAAUCAAAUUAAUCGCCUUUGUAACCAGAUAAUAUGUUGGCAAUAUAUUCACCUUGAAAUUGUUAAAUUUGGUUCUUUGAGGAAAUUUAUAUGCAUGAACUGAGACUUUGUCUAAAGAAUGUUUUUUCUAAAGCUACUAAUUAGUUUGGGUAAGAUGAUAUUCUAUUAUUUUCAAUUUUUUACCGAUCCAUUUUUUUUAUUUAGUUUAUCGAACUUAAUCCGUUAGUACUCACUAGUAUGGGAAUACAUGGAAUUGUGCAUUCAAUGACAAGUUCUAACAUAUCAGGUCAUUUACAUUUUCUUUAAUUACGACUUUACUCUUCUUCUAGCAUAACCUCCUGCUUUGAUUAUACACCCUUUGUAUUUGGUUAUCCAUUUUUAGUAAGUCACUAUUUAGCCCCCAUAAUUCGAAAUUUUAAUGGUUGGAAUAGUGUUUUUUUUAAUUCUGUGAUUUAAAAAGAAAAUAAGUUUUAGGAUAACGUGUAAUAUUAUUUUAUUAAAAAAUAUAUGGUUGAUAAGAAGAUAGAGAAAAAAAUUAUAAUUUCAAUAGGCCCAAACAAAAGCUAAAUAAUACACACUGCAAAGCUUGUUUUUCUGAGAUGGAAACAAUCGUUAUAUUGAAUCAUACCAUUCAUUUUUUUUUAAUAUUUAACUGUAUUUAUUAUGCAGGAAAUUUUUAUGGCUUGUAUGGUGUAAAGCAUUUGGCACAUCAACUUUUUUUCCGAAGUAUAUCAAUUUUGUACAGCAAUGGUUCAUGUGUUCCCAUUAAACUUCUCCACCUAAUUCUUUGUUUACUAACUCGAUUGGAAUCAAUUUUCCUGAGGAUGUGUUAGCUGUUAAACAAACCAAUCAAUUGUAUCAUAUACUCAGUUUCACUUAUAAUACAUAUACAUAAUAAAAAUGUUUUUG